UNGGAAUCACUGGGCGUAAAGGACGCGUAGGCGGAUUAUCAAGUCUCUUGUGAAAUCCUAUGGCUUANCCAUAGAACUGCUUGGGAAACUGAUAAUCUAGAGUGAGGGAGAGGCAGAUGGAAUUGGUGGUGUAGGGGUAAAAUCCGUAGAGAUCACCAGGAAUACCCCNUUGCGAAGGCGAUCUGCUGGAACUCAACUGACGCUAAUGCGUGAAAGCGUGGGGAGCAANCAGGAUUAGAUACCCUGGUAGUCCACGCCCUAAACGACGUACACUAGUUGUUGCUAAGCUAGUCUUGGCAGUAAUGCACCUAACGGAUUAAGUAUACCGCCUGGGGAGUACGGUCGCAAGAUUAAAACUCAAAGGAAUAGACGGGGACCCGCACAAGCGGUGGAGCAUGUGGUUUAAUUCGAAGAUACGCGAAGAACCUUACCCGGACUUGAUAUCUAACAAAUCAUCUAGAGAUAGAAGAGUGUCUGCUUGCAGAAAUGUUAAGACAGGUGCUGCACGGCUGUCGUCAGCUCGUGUCGUGAGAUGUUGGGUUAAGUCCCGCAACGAGCGCAACCCACGUCAUUAGUUGCUAACAGUUCGGCUGAGCACUCUAAUGAGACUGCCUUCGUAAGGAGGAGGAAGGUGUGGACGACGUCAAGUCAUCAUGGCCCUUAUGUCCGGGGCGACACACGUGCUACAAUGGCAUAUACAAUGAGAAGCAAUAUCGCGAGAUGGAGCAAAUCUAUAAAAUAUGUCCCAGUUCGGAUUGGAGUCUGCAACUCGACUCCAUGAAGCCGGAAUCGCUAGUAAUCGUAGAUCAGCCAUGCUACGGUGAAUACGUUCCCGGGUCUUGUACUCACCGCCCGUCACACCAUGGGAGUUGAUNUCACUCGAAGCCGGAAUACUAAAUUAGUUA
rnacentral:rRNA from 1 species